UGAUUAUGGUAGUGACGAACGAAGUGGUUUCAAUUAAGUGACAUUUGGGAGGGAAUAUCAAAGAUGGCUGCCGCUCCAGCUGCUUCCUGCAUGAGCGCCGAAAAUGGAUGCGUUAUGUUCGAUUGCCUCGUACAUCUGUGGGAAUGGCUUGACCCCCCAAUUGCACAAUCACAAUUCCAAAUGGAGAACAAAAAGCAGGUGCCCGCUACGCAGCAGCCGCUGAUGCAGCAGCACCUGAUGGCGCAACACGUGCAUCCUGAUCAAAUCUACAACCAGCAUCACCCUGCUAUCGCAACCCACCUGUCUUCCCCGCAAUCUGGCCAGCUUCCACCAAAUGGCGUUAUGCACCAACUCCUGCAAAGUCAAUAUCAAUCUAACAUAGAUGCCCGUUCACCACUUCUCGAAAACAGACACGAGUUGUAUGGAACUGGUUACAAUCAAGAUUAUGCUAGGCAAUACGGAGUUAACGACAACUACAAUUACCCACAAUCGCCUCCUAGGUUAGAAAGAACGGAAUUACACACCGACCAUAAUGUAAAUAACGAAAUACUUCACAAUAUUCCUAAAGGAUAUAAUGCUGAAGUGUAUCAAGACUAUUUAAAACGAAACCCACCGAAAGAUACCAACCAAAUAUACCAAAAUCAUCAACCGAUGUAUCGACCCAAUUCAAAUCAAUACGGCUCUAAACCGUAUCUUCCAUAUUCAAGUCGAAUAGGGCCGCAUAGUAAUACAGAGCUAUUACGAAGACAGUACAACGAAAUCCAGCAAAUGAAGUUGCAACAGCAACUGCACUACCAAAAUCAAGCGCAGAUGCACCAACAACAGAAGUUCGCUGAGAGGCAGAUGCUACUCCAACAAAUUCAUGGCGUACAACCACCUCCAAACUUGCAAAAUAGUAUAUACUCUGAUACCUCUUAUAGAGAUUUAGAUAGAUAUAGUAGUAAAAAUGAUUUUAAGGAGUAUAGUAAUACCGAUAUACAGAAAGAUAUUGAUAGGUACGCGAAAAAUAAUGAAUUUAGAGAAAAUGAUAAACAAAGCAGGCAAUAUCCCGAUCAGCAAUGGCAGCCCAAUCAGCAAACUGAUUCUAGGGAGCAUGAAAGAUAUAGAAGACAAUCAGAAGGCGAUAAAGGAAAGAGUCAGUCCCCGCCUUCGGAUCAAAGUCCAAAGAGUAACGUUGGUGUCGUUUCACCUAUGAAAUCCAGCGAGUCCAGUAGUCCAAGUAUAAAGUCACCUUCUUCGGACAGCAGAAGAAGCAGUGGCGGGACUCAAGCUUUACGGUCGCCGAUAGCACAACGAUUACCUUCUGCCCCAGUAACCAUGUCUGGCAUUCUGUACAAGCAGGGGUCGGAUGGACUAAAAGUGUGGAGAAAGAGGUGGUUUGUCUUAUCGGAGUACUGCUUAUUUUAUUACAAAAGUCAUGAUGAAGAGAAGCUCCUUGGAUCCGUGCUACUUCCUUCAUAUAAGGUGUCAGCCUGUACCGCCGACGAUAAAGUACUUCGGAAAUUCGCUUUCAAGCUAGAGCAUGCCAAUAUGCGCACUUACAUACUGUGCGCUCCUGACCAGGAGGCCAUGCUGAAGUGGGUGAAGGCGCUGACUAUGGCAGCGCUCAUGCAGAGCCUCAAUGACCAGCCACAAAAGCAGAGCGAACGGGCAGCUGCAAAAACAGAGGAGGAUGAAGUUCCCGGGCCCACAUAUGCCAAUGCGCCACCAAAACCGCGACGCUCAAAUGAAGGAUACAACUCGCCUAGCUCUGAUAUAUAUGAUCCAAACUACGACCUACUCAAACAGCCAGCAUCACACUACAGCCAAGGCACUAGUCAUACACGCUACCAGGAACACAAUUACCCGAGCAGUCCACAUCAAGAGAGCAUAUACACUCGGAGUCCACAGUCGCCCCCGGCGCCGCCGCAGUACCCGACGAAACGACCAUACGACACCCACCACCUGUCUCUGCCUCUGACAAACACCGUAACCGACAGAUUAGAAAACAACCAACCUAGUACCUCAACUUCCAUGUAUAAGACCACACCUAACUCUCCUUACUUUGAUACUAGGAGCAGAACGCAACAAGAAUCUAAACAAGAGCAAAUAUAUGAUCGACAACCCCAGUCCAAUCCCUUCCUGCAGGAUACAACACCACAAACAGAAAGUUUUAGAGACAUUGAUAUGCAAAAUAAGAACAGUCGAAAUUAUGAACAAGAACGGGCCCAAUCGAAAACCAAUGAUCCGUACCCAGAAACGCGUUUAAAUAAUUCUUCAAAGGUGGACAUGGGACAAUACAGUCGAGAUGUUUAUGGAGAGUUGAACGCAAGACCCAGUAGGUCAGGGAGUGCAAUCAAUGAACGCUUAUUAAUAGAGAGGCGAACGCCCGAUGCAUAUGGCCGGUCUACCACUAUGUCCGCAUACAGUAAAGAUAAAGCCGGUGACUACGAAGACGUGUAUGCUACAUAUGGUACCGAAAAUGAUUACGGUCAAAGUUAUGCAAAGUCUCCAAAUAUCUUACGGGAUGCACCCAAUCAUUCUAGUCAACUACAACAGCAAAGUCAAGAGCCCAUUGGAAAUUAUUCUCAAGAAAAAUCUUUUAGCGGCCCUUCAGUCUUACGCAGGAAAAAGAUGCAAUCGAGUGGGAUUCAGCCCCAAAUGCCAAGACCCCAUAGCGCAGAUUUUCUUGAAUAUGAAUCUAAGAAUGAAAUGCUAAAUAGAUCCAUGGUAAAUCGAACUUCUAGUAAUGUACCAAGGCAGCCACAGAGGCCUAAAUCUAGUUUAGAUAUCAACUCUUCAUAUGACCCUAGUUCAGAUAGAUACUAUUCAGAAGAAAGUUAUGCGGAAAAAAUGCGCCAAAGUGCUCAAUAUUUACAGCAGGGUUUGGGACCCCGCAAUAUACAAAUUCCUUUGGCAAAAUACGCAAGUGGUCUGGCAGAAAAACAACUACAUUCCCCAUACUCACACACUACGAACAAUAAUUAUGAAACCGAAUUUGGCAGUCCUAGGAAUAACGGUGACAACAUAAGCAACCAUUUGAAAUACAAUGAAACGUUAAAUUCAAACUGGACUUUGAAGAAUAAAGAUCCUAAAGAUUACCUUAAUAGAAGUGGAAGUGUUAUGAGUGAUGGUUCUAAUAUAAGUGCUUAUGCUAAGGGUAUUAAAAGAAUAGAUACAAACGCCGAAGGCUUCAUGAGAUCCGCAAGUGCACGAUUACCUUCCACAGCUCCUGAAAGAGAGGGUGAGAAGAAAGUACAACAGCGAGAGGAAUCAAUGAAGCGAUUAUUGGAAUGGAAACAGCGCAUGUUACAAUCACCUUUAACACGUAAAAGUACUCCAGCCACUAUCUCUCUGGCUCGGUCUCUGAAUCAGAGCCGACAGUCGUUAAAAGACUACAAAUCGAAGACCUACGCUAAUGCGUCAUAUAACAGCUAUUCUUCCGAUGAUGAAGCUUCAAUGACAAUUACUGGCAAUAAUAUGGAAUCGGGCACAAAUAAUUCAAAUCAACAAACGUUGUCUAAUAAAGCUUUUCUCGGAAGUAAUACAUCUAUCGGAAGAAGUAACAGAGAUAGUAAUAUACCCGUGCGGGCCGUGAGCCCCAGAGUUCGAUGGGUGGAAGAAAAACCAACUAGUGACCAAUACGGCUCGCAACAUCUGACAGCUUCACAACAGAAUUUAAGAAUCUCAAACGUGACAGAGGAGUCAUGGGCAACGGGUAGAUCUCCGUCUAGAGCUUCACAGCAGCCAAUUAGAGCGGUCAGUCCUAGAGUUCGAAGAAACACUGAACAAGAUGACAUGCAAAGGGAACAGCAAUCGGGUCAGCAGUUGGGUGAAGUGCCCACGGCUGGGGAACUUCUUGGUCGAACUCACGAAGAAUUGGUGUUACUUCUGAUUCAAUUACGAAGACGACAUGCAGCUACUCAUCGAGCCAUCGAACAGUGCUGUGCUCAAAUUAAUAGUAUCAAGGACUGCCUUAGUUCCCUGAAAGCUAUGGAGCGAGAAGAGAGUCUGCAAAGACUUGAGCAUUUGAAAAUGCAACUAAUGGAACUAGAACAUCAGUAUGAAAAGAGCAAGCCGCUUGUACAGUUGGUGGACAAUAUGGUGAAAUUGGGCUCCUUAUACAAUAGGCCAGGAUCCACAGUCGAGCGGCUUGAGAGGAAUCAGAGAUUGAGGCAGAAAGUUCUUGCAGAACAUGCGCUGGAACAACAAAGAUGGUUAGAGAGUGCUGCAGCAGGAAAGCAACUUGAAACAGAAGCUGCUAGAGCGAGGGUGGCUGAAUUGUGGGCUUUAGAACAAGAGCUAGCUGAUGAAGCCGCCAUUUUGCAGGGGCUUAGAACAGAUAAAGAUGCAAUCGAAUCCUUACUUACAGGCGUUCGUGGUAAACUAGACAGCGUACAAACCAGAAACGAUCUGUCACAUAUCACGAACCAGCGUGCGUCGGCCGUGCCCGAGCUGGGAAGCGGGUCGCUGGAGGCCGAGCUGGCCCGAGUGCACGCCCUGCUGGCACUUAAUUCUAAGGUUUAUAAGAAACUGGAGCAGACCGUGGCCGAUAACGCGCGUCUGGAGCGCGAGCUGCAGCAGCUGCGGCGAGCGCUGCAGGCGCGCCGCGCCGCCGCGCCCGCGCACCCGCCGCCCGCGCACGCCACCGCCAUGCUCGAAGACGAAGUAUCACGGGUGCAGCAGCUAGUGUCGGCCUUGCAGCGCCAGCGGCAGGAGCUCAGUCGGGCGGUGAGGCAUCUCACGCAACAGUCUCAUGCUUUGCAGACUACCCACGAUUCUUUACCCGGUAAACGUCGUCCAACUUCCUCAUGGCAAGAAACCAACUUAGACACAGGUCAUACAACCGACCACGGCAACUCUGACUACGACUACGACAUGGGUAGCGUAGUCAUGUCCCCUGGUAAUUACGAGAGCAGUAACAUGGACGUACCGCUGUAUGUGGACACGAGAGGAGGGGGGAAUGACGUCAUGUCUCCUAUGACCAGCGAGGAAAUGCAAAAUGGCGGAUUCGCGAACCUGUCCAAUGUAGAAAAACAGGAGAUCAAAACUGUGCGCAUAGUGAAACGCGAAAGUGAAAGACGACAAAGGGAUAGAGAGCGUUCUCUCCAACCCAUGUCCGACUGGCCUUCCAAUAACAUCACUGCCAACCUUGACCAGUUUUUAGAAGAGGAGCUCAUCCAGUCUUCCAACUACUCCAGAGCUUCGUCUGUGCCUCGAACUGAUUUUAGCAAAUUUGAAGAAUACUACUCUAAGCCCCAACCUGCCGAACCUCCAAACUAUCUUCGACUGAACGACAAAAUGUCUUCCAUGGAACUUAGUCCUAAAUAUCCAUCAAGCCCGUCCCUAUCAAACUAUGAUUAUUCUCGAGACAUAUCCUCACUUAGCAGCAGUUAUAAUAGAAGUUACGAGAAGUCUGGUUACGAUAAAACUAUUUCGAUUUCGACUCAAUAUUUGAACAGUCCCACGGAUAGCGCUAGAACUCUGACAAACGAUCCGUUGUCGAAAACGAGCAGCAUUGGCAGCUUGACGAGAUCUCAUAUGGAAUUGUCGCCCAUCUUCAAAAGCGAGGCGGCGAAACAAAUCAUAACUGAGAUGUCCGGGGACGUGCCUAAGAACGGGUCUCUGCACAGGAGACAAGUGCCAAAGGAGAAGCGAAGGCAUUACACAGCACCGCAUCAUCUAAGUGCAAAAACAUUGAACGAAAUGCCAAAGGAGGCGUACAAUCAAGAUAAGCUGGGCCGGUCGCUGGACGACGCGGACAUGGAGCGCGCACUGCGCGCCCCGCCCGACGUGGUGCGCUCAGCGCUGGCGCCGCCGCAGCGCUACGCCGACUCCAUUGACCAGCUGCUGGCCGCGCCGCAGAAGAUCCUCAUACCGGAGCGCUACAUCCCGGAGAAGCCUCCUGAACUGUCACCCGAAGAGCAACAGAAGCGUCAAGAGAAGGUUGAGUCGAUCAAGAAAAUGCUUUCGGGGUCGACUGAUCCCAACACCAAGAGCCCGGACGGCGAAGAGAAGCGACAGCGGGAACACUUAUUGCAGAUGAACCAGCUGCUCGCCAAGCAGGUCACCGAAAUGAGCAAAAUCAUUGCCGGAACCAACACUGAGCAAGGCCCGACCGCCAACAGCAAAUAAUUAAACCAUUUACAUACAAAUCUCACGUACAAAUCAGACGCAUUAUCAAUAAAUCAUCCUUAACUAUAGUCCUAUUAAGUGAAUUUGUAAGUAAAUUGGCUAGAACAGCGGUCGUUCGAAGAACUGUUGCAGCAUGGUUUCGUUUUUGCAUUUUGUUUGAAAGCGUUAGAAGAGUUGCCGCAGCGAAAUAACGCGGACGACUUGGACGACCGCUCUCCAGAUGUGGAAUUGCCUAUUUAUCAGCAAAGAGACAAUUUCUUUACUUAAAGAUCGAAAACGAUCGUGGUGUCUGAUGAUGUAUUACUUUCAAGAUAUUUUAUAAUUGGUGGACGACGGCGGUUUAAACUUAUGACUUAUUGUUGUUAGUUAACGUAUAACUCUAUUAAAGAAUAAUCACAUGCUAUUGCUAUUAUAGUGCGGUGUGGGCAAUAUCUUUGCUGGGUAGGCUUUGUACUGUACUUAGUACUUUUUACGAGUAGGUAAUAGAUUGGAAAUUCUCGGAGUUCCUCGUUGAGUCCGAUUUAACUCUGAUGACGAUUCGACUAUCUAAAUAAAGUUAAGAAUGUAUAACCUUAAAAAGAACAUGAUCAUUCGGUACCACGUUAGGUGAUUACCACACCGACGUCGAAUCUAGACUCCACAUCAGUGUGUAAACUGCCUUAUAUUUAUUUUAAAUAAGCAGGAUAAGAUCAACAUACAGACUUAUCGUGUUGUAAUAAUAUUUAAUCAAGUUGUACGGGCUUUAAAUACUUUAUAGUGAUACCUACACUUAUAAAAAUCAAUUAAUAGUUAUACCCUUAUGUAAUAGAAUAUACUUCUUGGACUAUAGAACUUAUACAAUAGGUACGUAUUAAUCUUUAUGACUAUACAUUUUAGCUCAAUUAUCUUCUAUCUUGGUAUUUAGACUCCAUAUAUAUUAUACAUACCUACUAAUAGCGAAAAUAUUAUUCUGUGCAACGCUGUCCCUGGACUCCUUUAGGCUGCAUUCGCAGGAGCGCUUUUACAACGCGCGUUAAAAAAGCGUUUGAAUGACACAAUUGGAUACAUGUGCAUUUAUUCACACGAUGGCGGUGGCGCUUUUUAUCAAGCGUUGUUGGAUUUUUGACUUUAAGCGUUGGUCGAUAAAUCGAAUUUAGCGUGCGGACGGAUUCAAGCGCUUUUUUUUCGCGCCACCUGGAUGACGCUAAGAUGAGGAGGAGGACCGAAAUAUACCUAUGCAAUUGCUGGUAAAGAAAAUAUUAGGCUAAGGUUUUACUACCCGUCGCAAGUUUGAUAACUACAUGUGUUAUGGAAUAAAACUGUGAGUGGUUUAUACGCACCAAGUCUGACAUAUUUCCAUUGUUUUGAAUUAUGCGUGUACACUGUAGGUACAUUAAUGUUCGUUUUAUAGUAUUGUCCAGUUAACCUAGUUUGUGCUUCGUUUAUUCUUUCAAUAUUUACGCGGUUAAGUUGUGUUUUGCCAUAAGGUAUGUUUCGAUAAAUUUGCUGACGUGCGUUUCCGAGACGCCUGCAUAUCAGAUACAGCACACUUCUUUCGAAUGACGAAUAACCAGGCGUUUGGGUCUGAAGAAUGAUCAAUUUCGAGUAAAGCGACUGACUGAUGACCAAUGUUAAGAACAAAGUAACCGAUCAAUUUAUAAUAUACUUGUUUACUUCAUUGUAGGUUUCUUAUGUAGGUAUUAGUAUUUGCUCAAUUUUAACAACAUUCCUUCAAUAGUUGAUUUGAAAUAUAUAUUGUAAAUAAUAUAUGUUUGUACAGGUAACAAUUUUCAUAAGUACCUACUAAUUAUAUGGUACGUUUAUAGGUCAGUUGUUUUUUUUUUCUACUUAAUUAUUUCAAAGUAGGUUAGUAUUCUAUGUGAAAUGCCUUGGAUUGUUACUUUAGAUAAGGUUCGAUGUAGUAAAUCGUAGCUGUAAGACGAUGCCAUGUUAAUCGGUUAAAUGAAUAUAGUACCUAAAGCACAUUAUUUAAUAUAAUUACACAGGUACUUAAGAUGAGAAAUCGAAUUAAAAUGCGUUUUAGUAUUA